GAUGAACGCUGGCGGCGUGCUUAACACAUGCAAGUCGAACGAUGAAGCCCAGCUUGCUGGGUGGAUUAGUGGCGAACGGGUGAGUAACACGUGAGUAACCUGCCCUUAACUCUGGGAUAAGCCUGGGAAACUGGGUCUAAUACCGGAUAGGAGCGUCUACCGCAUGGUGGGUGUUGGAAAGAUUUAUCGGUUUUGGAUGGACUCGCGGCCUAUCAGCUUGUUGGUGAGGUAAUGGCUCACCAAGGCGACGACGGGUAGCCGGCCUGAGAGGGUGACCGGCCACACUGGGACUGAGACACGGCCCAGACUCCUACGGGAGGCAGCAGUGGGGAAUAUUGCACAAUGGGCGAAAGCCUGAUGCAGCGACGCCGCGUGAGGGAUGACGGCCUUCGGGUUGUAAACCUCUUUCAGUAGGGAAGAAGCGAAAGUGACGGUACCUGCAGAAGAAGCACCGGCUAACUACGUG
rnacentral:rRNA from 1 species